GUUCUCGGUGGCUCAGCUGGAUAGAGCGUCUGCUUUGUAAGCAGGAGGUCCCGGGUUCGAGUCCCAAUCGGGACA
rnacentral:tRNA from 1 species